CCCUUAGAUGUUCUGGGCCGCACACGCGCUACACUGAAGGAGGCAGCGUGUACUCCUGGAUCGAAAGAUUUGGGUAACCCGCGAAUCUCCUUCGUGCUAGGGAUUGAGGUUUGCAAUUAUCCUUCGUGAACGAGGAAUUCCCAGUAAGUGCAAGUCAUAAGCUUGCGCUGACUACGUCCCUGCCCUUUGUACACACCGCCCGUCGCUACUACCGAUUGAAUGAUUUAGUGAGGACUUCGGACUGGGACCGAUGCGGCUUUCGGGCUGCGUCGGUAUUCUGGAAAGAUGUCCAAACUGUAUCAUUUAGAGGAAGUAAAANUCGUAACA
rnacentral:rRNA from 1 species